CGAAGCCGAAUCUUUGAGCACUACCUUGACACGGUAGGGGUCAGAGGGUCAGAGGUUCAAAUCCUCUAUCGCCCA
rnacentral:tRNA from 1 species